rnacentral:rRNA from 2 species
AGCGUACACGGUGGAUGCCCUGGCAGUCAGAGGCGAUGAAGGACGUGCUAAUCUGCGAUAAGCGUCGGUGAGGUGAUAUGAACCGUUAUAACCGGCGAUUUCCGAAUGGGGAAACCCAGUGUGUUUCGACACACUAUCAUUAACUGAAUCCAUAGGUUAAUGAGGCGAACCGGGGGAACUGAAACAUCUAAGUACCCCGAGGAAAAGAAAUCAACCGAGAUUCCCCCAGUAGCGGCGAGCGAACGGGGAGGAGCCCAGAGCCUGAAUCAGUGUGUGUGUUAGUGGAAGCGUCUGGAAAGGCGCGCGAUACAGGGUGACAGCCCCGUACACAAAAAUGCACAUAUUGUGAGCUCGAUGAGUAGGGCGGGACACGUGGUAUCCUGUCUGAAUAUGGGGGGACCAUCCUCCAAGGCUAAAUACUCCUGACUGACCGAUAGUGAACCAGUACCGUGAGGGAAAGGCGAAAAGAACCCCGGCGAGGGGAGUGAAAAAGAACCUGAAACCGUGUACGUACAAGCAGUGGGAGCCUCUUAAUGGGGUGACUGCGUACCUUUUGUAUAAUGGGUCAGCGACUUAUAUUCUGUAGCAAGGUUAACCGAAUAGGGGAGCCGAAGGGAAACCGAGUCUUAACUGGGCGUUAAGUUGCAGGGUAUAGACCCGAAACCCGGUGAUCUAGCCAUGGGCAGGUUGAAGGUUGGGUAACACUAACUGGAGGACCGAACCGACUAAUGUUGAAAAAUUAGCGGAUGACUUGUGGCUGGGGGUGAAAGGCCAAUCAAACCGGGAGAUAGCUGGUUCUCCCCGAAAGCUAUUUAGGUAGCGCCUCGUGAAUUCAUCUCCGGGGGUAGAGCACUGUUUCGGCAAGGGGGUCAUCCCGACUUACCAACCCGAUGCAAACUGCGAAUACCGGAGAAUGUUAUCACGGGAGACACACGGCGGGUGCUAACGUCCGUCGUGAAGAGGGAAACAACCCAGACCGCCAGCUAAGGUCCCAAAGUCAUGGUUAAGUGGGAAACGAUGUGGGAAGGCCCAGACAGCCAGGAUGUUGGCUUAGAAGCAGCCAUCAUUUAAAGAAAGCGUAAUAGCUCACUGGUCGAGUCGGCCUGCGCGGAAGAUGUAACGGGGCUAAACCAUGCACCGAAGCUGCGGCAGCGACACUAUGUGUUGUUGGGUAGGGGAGCGUUCUGUAAGCCUGUGAAGGUGGCCUGUGAGGGUUGCUGGAGGUAUCAGAAGUGCGAAUGCUGACAUAAGUAACGAUAAAGCGGGUGAAAAGCCCGCUCGCCGGAAGACCAAGGGUUCCUGUCCAACGUUAAUCGGGGCAGGGUGAGUCGACCCCUAAGGCGAGGCCGAAAGGCGUAGUCGAUGGGAAACAGGUUAAUAUUCCUGUACUUGGUGUUACUGCGAAGGGGGGACGGAGAAGGCUAUGUUGGCCGGGCGACGGUUGUCCCGGUUUAAGCGUGUAGGCUGGUUUUCCAGGCAAAUCCGGAAAACCAAGGCUGAGGCGUGAUGACGAGGCACUACGGUGCUGAAGCGACAAAUGCCCUGCUUCCAGGAAAAGCCUCUAAGCAUCAGGUAACAUCAAAUCGUACCCCAAACCGACACAGGUGGUCAGGUAGAGAAUACCAAGGCGCUUGAGAGAACUCGGGUGAAGGAACUAGGCAAAAUGGUGCCGUAACUUCGGGAGAAGGCACGCUGAUAUGUAGGUGAAGCGACUUGCUCGUGGAGCUGAAAUCAGUCGAAGAUACCAGCUGGCUGCAACUGUUUAUUAAAAACACAGCACUGUGCAAACACGAAAGUGGACGUAUACGGUGUGACGCCUGCCCGGUGCCGGAAGGUUAAUUGAUGGGGUUAGCGGCAACGCGAAGCUCUUGAUCGAAGCCCCGGUAAACGGCGGCCGUAACUAUAACGGUCCUAAGGUAGCGAAAUUCCUUGUCGGGUAAGUUCCGACCUGCACGAAUGGCGUAAUGAUGGCCAGGCUGUCUCCACCCGAGACUCAGUGAAAUUGAACUCGCUGUGAAGAUGCAGUGUACCCGCGGCAAGACGGAAAGACCCCGUGAACCUUUACUAUAGCUUGACACUGAACAUUGAGCCUUGAUGUGUAGGAUAGGUGGGAGGCUUUGAAGUGUGGACGCCAGUCUGCAUGGAGCCGGCCUUGAAAUACCACCCUUUAAUGUUUGAUGUUCUAACGUGGGCCCCUUACCGGGGUUGCGGACAGUGUCUGGUGGGUAGUUUGACUGGGGCGGUCUCCUCCUAAAGAGUAACGGAGGAGCACGAAGGUUGGCUAAUCCUGGUCGGACAUCAGGAGGUUAGUGCAAUGGCAUAAGCCAGCUUGACUGCGAGCGUGACGGCGCGAGCAGGUGCGAAAGCAGGUCAUAGUGAUCCGGUGGUUCUGAAUGGAAGGGCCAUCGCUCAACGGAUAAAAGGUACUCCGGGGAUAACAGGCUGAUACCGCCCAAGAGUUCAUAUCGACGGCGGUGUUUGGCACCUCGAUGUCGGCUCAUCACAUCCUGGGGCUGAAGUAGGUCCCAAGGGUAUGGCUGUUCGCCAUUUAAAGUGGUACGCGAGCUGGGUUUAGAACGUCGUGAGACAGUUCGGUCCCUAUCUGCCGUGGGCGCUGGAGAACUGAGGGGGGCUGCUCCUAGUACGAGAGGACCGGAGUGGACGCAUCACUGGUGUUCGGGUUGUCAUGCCAAUGGCACUGCCCGGUAGCUAAAUGCGGAAGAGAUAAGUGCUGAAAGCAUCUAAGCACGAAACUUGCCCCGAGAUGAGUUCU